UACAGAGGGGGCAAGCGUUGUUCGGAAUUACUGGGCGUAAAGGGCGCGUAGGCGGCCUGUUAAGUCGAACGUGAAAUCCCCGGGCUCAACCCGGGAACUGCGUCCGAUACUGGCAGGCUUGAAUCCGGGAGAGGGAUGCGGAAUUCCAGGUGUAGCGGUGAAAUGCGUAGAUAUCUGGAGGAACACCGGUGGCGAAGGCGGCAUCCUGGACCGGUAUUGACGCUGAGGAGCGAAAGCGUGGGGAGCAAACAGG
rnacentral:rRNA from 1 species